rnacentral:rRNA from 1 species
GAUGAACGCUAGCGGCAGGCCUAAUACAUGCAAGUCGGACGGGAUUGGAGAGCUUGCUUUCCAUGAGAGUGGCGCACGGGUGCGUAACACGUAUGUAACCUACCUUGUUCAGGGGGAUAGUCUCUCGAAAGAGAGAUUAAGACCGAAUAACAUUGCGAUGUGGCAUCACCUUGUAAUCAAAUAUUUAUAGGAACAAGAUGGGCAUGCGGAACAUUAGCUAGUUGGUAAGGUAACGGCUUACCAAGGCUACGAUGUUUAGGGGAUCUGAGAGGAUGACCCCCCACACUGGUACUGAGACACGGACCAGACUCCUACGGGAGGCAGCAGUAAGGAAUAUUGGUCAAUGAGCGGAAGCCUGAACCAGCCAUGCCGCGUGCAGGAAGACGGCCCUAUGGGUUGUAAACUGCUUUUGCAGGGGAAUAAACCUUGGUACGUGUACCAAGCUGAAUGUACUCUGAGAAUAAGGAUCGGCUAACUCCGUGCCAGCAGCCGCCGUAA